CUUUUUUUCCAUAACCAGAAGAUAUAUUUAAUGCUAGUUCAUUCACACAACAGAAGGACGAGGAGGACCUUGAUACGGUGGUGAGCCUGACUGAAUUUGGAGAUGCUGGUGGCUGGCCCACUAUCAAUGUCAGGAGCAGAUGGAGCCAGCUUCCUCAAGAAAGCAUGCUGGGCCAUACUUUUAAAGGAGAGGUUAUUGGACAGAGCUGAACGUGCCAAAGCACCACCUUACUGGAGGAACUACAGUUGUCAUCGCCAUACUGCUGUGUCGUUUUGUUUGAUGGAGAGCAGUUACGUCUGGGGAGAUAGCUUGGUGGGCAAAGAACUUAUCAUGAAAAUGUGAAGACCUGUGUUCAGAUCCCCAAGAACCCGAGUGUGAUGGUGAAGGUGUUGUCAACUUAAUCUGUUUAGUAAUCCACAGACACCCCUUUGGGGUGGGUCUCUGAGGUGGCUUC